GUGCCAGCCGCCGCGGUAAUACAGAGGUGGCGAGCGUUAUUCGGAAUUAUUGGGCGUAAAGGGCGCGUAGGCGGCUUGACAAGUCCCGGGUGAAAUCCCUCGGCUCAACCGAGGAACUGCCUUGGAAACUGUCUGGCUUGAGGCCGGGAGAGGGUAGUGGAAUUCCCAGUGUAGCGGUGAAAUGCGUAGAUACUGGGAGGAACACCGGUGGCGAAGGCGGCUACCUGGACCGGUUCUGACGCUGAGGCGCGAAAGCGUGGGUAGCAAACAGGAUUAGAUACCCUGGUAGUCC
rnacentral:rRNA from 1 species